CGUGCCUAAUACAUGCAAGUCGAGCGAAUGGAUUAAGAGCUUGCUCUUAUGAAGUUAGCGGCGGACGGGUGAGUAACACGUGGGUAACCUACCCAUAAGACUGGGAUAACUCCGGGAAACCGGGGCUAAUACCGGAUAAUAUUUUGAACUGCAUAGUUCGAAAUUGAAAGGCGGCUUCGGCUGUCACUUAUGGAUGGACCCGCGUCGCAUUAGCUAGUUGGUGAGGUAACGGCUCACCAAGGCGACGAUGCGUAGCCGACCUGAGAGGGUGAUCGGCCACACUGGGACUGAGACACGGCCCAGACUCCUACGGGAGGCAGCAGUAGGGAAUCUUCCGCAAUGGACGAAAGUCUGACGGAGCAACGCCGCGUGAGUGAUGAAGGCUUUCGGGUCGUAAAACUCUGUUGUUAGGGAAGAACAAGUGCUAGUUGAAUAAGCUGGCACCUUGACGGUACCUAACCAGAAAGCCACGGCUAACUACGUGCCAGCAGCCGCGGUAAUACGUAGGUGGCAAGCGUUAUCCGGAAUUAUUGGGCGUAAAGCGCGCGCAGGUGGUUUCUUAAGUCUGAUGUGAAAGCCCACGGCUCAACCGUGGAGGGUCAUUGGAAACUGGGAGACUUGAGUGCAGAAGAGGAAAGUGGAAUUCCAUGUGUAGCGGUGAAAUGC
rnacentral:rRNA from 1 species